rnacentral:rRNA from 2 species
GGAUCCAGACUUUGAUCAUGGCUCACCAUUAACGCUAGCUACAGGCUUAACACAUGCAAGUCGAGGGCCAGCGGGAUUGAAGCUUACUUCAAUUGCCGGCGACCGGCGCACGGGUGAGUAACGCGUAUCCAACCUUCCGUACACUCAGGGAUAGCCUUUCGAAAGAAAGAUUAAUACCUGAUGGUAUGAUGAGAUUGCAUGAUAGCAUCAUUAAAGAUUUAUCGGUGUACGAUGGGGAUGCGUUCCAUUAGGUAGUAGGCGGGGUAACGGCCCACCUAGCCGACGAUGGAUAGGGGUUCUGAGAGGAAGGUCCCCCACAUUGGAACUGAGACACGGUCCAAACUCCUACGGGAGGCAGCAGUGAGGAAUAUUGGUCAAUGGACGAGAGUCUGAACCAGCCAAGUAGCGUGAAGGAUGAAGGUCCUACGGAUUGUAAACUUCUUUUAUAAGGGAAUAAACCCUUCCACGUGUGGGAGCUUGUAUGUACCUUAUGAGUAAGCAUCGGCUAACUCCGUGCCAGCAGCCGCGGUAAUACGGAGGAUGCGAGCGUUAUCCGGAUUUAUUGGGUUUAAAGGGAGCGCAGACGGGUCGUUAAGUCAGCUGUGAAAGUUUGGGGCUCAACCUUAAAAUUGCAGUUGAUACUGGCGUCCUUGAGUGCGGUUGAGGUGUGCGGAAUUCGUGGUGUAGCGGUGAAAUGCUUAGAUAUCACGAAGAACUCCGAUUGCGAAGGCAGCACACUAAGCCGUAACUGACGUUCAUGCUCGAAAGUGUGGGUAUCAAACAGGAUUAGAUACCCUGGUAGUCCACACGGUAAACGAUGGAUACUCGCUGUUGGCGAUAUACUGUCAGCGGCUUAGCGAAAGCGUUAAGUAUCCCACCUGGGGAGUACGCCGGCAAC